GGGCCAGUAUCCCAGUGGUUAGAGCACAUGCUUUGUGUGCAGAAGGUCCCACGUUCAAUCCCUGGCAUCUCCA